GUCCACGCCGUAACGAUGAAUACUAGGUGUUGGCGACCAAGGUCGUCGGUGCCGCCGCAAACGCAUUAAGUAUUCCACCUGGGGAGUACGUACGCAAGUAUGAACUCAAAGGAAUUGACGGGACCCGCACAAGCGGUGUAGCAUGUGGUUUAAUUCGAAGCAACGCGAAGAACCUUACCAAAUCUUGACAUCCCGAUGGAAGCCUUUUAAUUAGGCCCCUCUUCGGAGCAUUGGAGACAGGUGGUGCAUGGUUGUCGU
rnacentral:rRNA from 1 species